CCCCUCCUUUUUUCGAAAUGUUCUCAUCGCUGGAACUCCCCAACGCGAGGCGAAAGUGGAAUCAUGCCCGAAACAUGACCCACCUAACCGCGCUCCUUAACACACGCCACGUUAACCCGGAAACCAGCCGCACCAAUGUGUCGGAUGAAACACAUUCCCGUAUGCACAUUCCAUGAUCGAACGUUCUAAACACACUUCUUACCAGCAAAAAAGAAGAAGUUGUUAUCGACGAUAUAACGUUACUACCACUAUGUCGCAGUUUUUUACUAGGUGUCUUCAGGACUUGCCUUAAAUUAACAUUAAUUAUGCCUCCGAGACUCCAGCUAACAAGAAUGAAAAGGGGUUCAUAGGAAGUUAUAGGAAGCUAACGUUACAUAGACAACUAUGAAGUAUCUAACAAAGAUACAUUGACCGGAGAGAUCACCGUGAGGGCUGCCUGUCACAGGUCCAUGAGGAAGAGCGAAAAUUUAAUUUUACCUUUAUUUAACCAGAUGGUGUUAAAGCACUCCGUACCAGUGAUAGUGGUCCAGAGCCACUGCUCCUGUAUUGCAGGAAGUGCUAUGUGCAAUCAUCUGGUGGCCCUUCUUUAAAAAAAUGCACCUGAAAAGUAUUCAGCCUAUGUAACAGUAAAUCCUUGUUAAUUAGGGUGUGAAGACCGUUCCGGUUGAUGGGAUAGAGUUCCGUAAACCUACAAACUCGUGUGCUGAUGGAAUAAGAUAAGUUGGAUGUUCCUAGAAUGGAAACAUGUUAGAAAACAUUUUCCUGUGAUUGUUUUUGUAUCCAGAUGAUGAGCCUAAACAGUGGCGUCUUUACGAUGUAAUGACACAUUUUGGGACAAAGACUGGGGGGAAAUAUAUCAUCUAUAAAUCUGUAUUUUAAUUAAUUUUAUUUGAACUUUCUGGCUUGUGCUGUUUCUGGAAAAGUUACAUGAGUCUUUGUCAUAGUAAUCUCGCCAACCUGGUGUUAAGGUUUUAAAAUGUUUUGCAGAAGUUCUCUCUACAUAGCACUCAAUGGAUACAUGCCUGACAUGGACCUUCGCAUCUCAGAAACGUAUGCCAACUUUUCUCUACUUACUUCCCCUCUUGUGACAAUGGAAAUGUCAGCUGCCCCUGGUUGAAUCCGCCUGUCCUAUCAGCUUCCACAGCCAAAGACCAUGGAAUUGUGACGAUUACCGAUGCCCCAUCUCCAAUACUUCCAUUAGAUGGCUACAGUCUUCAGUCUUCCCAGUGUGCUUACGUCCUUAGCCAUCGGGGGCAGUUCCACGUCAAGGCAUUAGAGACAACCUACGAGAUGUCACAGUGAGUCGAGGUUGCAGCCCAGAAUGGCAUCAGCUCAGGAAAAUUAGAAUAACAUCCUCUCGUUUUCGAGAGGUUUGCCAUGUCCGGGGAGAGACCUCGGCUGACCACCUAGCUGAGCGAAUGUUCAAGGGAUCUGGUAUGCAGACCAUUGAGAUGAAGAGGGGGCUAGCCAUUGAGCCAGUGGCUGUACAGGAGUACUGCACACUGAAGAAUGUUAACUUCUUUCUGUGUGGCUUCAUAGUGCACCCAGAUGCUCCGUGGUUAGGAUCCUCUCCAGAUGGCAUCAUAUUUGAUCCCAGUGUGAGACCACACUUUGGACUCUUAGAGGUCAAGUGCCCAAAUGUACCAAGUUAUGUUGAGUGCCCUUACCUGAAGAUACAGAAUGGAGAGCUGAAGUUGAAGAGAUCUCAUGCUUACUACUAGGUGCAAGGUCAAAUCCUUCUCACAGGUUGUAGCUGGUGUGACUGUCCUCCUGUGCACAGAUGACAACCUAGUUGAAAGGAUAUAUAAAGAUCUACAGGUUUCAAAAACUAUAAGAGAGAAGGUUGACCACUUAUUUUUAUCACUACUUGCAGAAGUGUCUCUCGCACCUGAAUGGAUUCCAUGGGUGCCAAGUUCAGUGGUUUCACAAAAAAUAAGUAUUGAUGUUCUUGUGAAGAAAACUAUAGUAGAAUAGAUUUGUUUAAAAAAAAAUAUUUCAGCAAAUGUUCAACAGUUCAGUUAAUCAAUUACACAUCUCCAACAUUGUAUUAAAUCUUGCAUUCUGGCUA